rnacentral:sRNA from 1 species
UGACUCCUUUAAGCCGGGAGUCACCUAGCCAACUGACGUUGUUAGUGAACUGACUUUGUUCACACUUAUAUAUAGCCAAUCACACCAUUGUGAUUGGCUUUUUUUUG